GUGGGGAAUUUUGGACAAUGGGGGGAACCCUGAUCCAGCCAUGCCGCGUGUGUGAAGAAGGCCUUUUGGUUGUAAAGCACUUUAAGCGAGGAGGAGGCUACCGAGAUUAAUACUCUUGGAUAGUGGACGUUACUCGCAGAAUAAGCACCGGCUAACUCUGUGCCAGCAGCCGCGGUAAUACAGAGGGUGCAAGCGUUAAUCGGAUUUACUGGGCGUAAAGCGCGCGUAGGUGGCCAAUUAAGUCAAAUGUGAAAUCCCCGAGCUUAACUUGGGAAUUGCAUUCGAUACUGGUUGGCUAGAGUAUGGGAGAGGAUGGUAGAAUUCCAGGUGUAGCGGUGAAAUGCGUAGAGAUCUGGAGGAAUACCGAUGGCGAAGGCAGCCAUCUGGCCUAAUACUGACACUGAGGUGCGAAAGCAUGGGGAGCAAACAGGAUUAGAUACCCGUGUAGUCC
rnacentral:rRNA from 1 species